UAGCCGUAAACGAUACUCGCUAGGUGUCGGCCACGGUGCGACCGUUGUCGGUGCCGUAGGGAAGCCGUGAAGCGAGCCACCUGGGAAGUACGGCCGCAAGGCUGAAACUUAAAGGAAUUGGCGGGGGAGCACCACAACGGGUGGAGCUUGCGGUUUAAUUAGAUUCAACGCCGGAAAUCUUACCGGGACCGACAGCAACAUGAAGGCCAGGCUGAAGACUUUGCCGGAUUAGCUGAGAGGAGGUGCAUGGCGUAGUCGUGU
rnacentral:rRNA from 1 species